rnacentral:rRNA from 1 species
GGAUAAUAUUUUGAACCGCAUGGUUCAAAAGUGAAAGACGGUCUUGCUGUCACUUAUAGAUGGAUCCGCGCUGCAUUAGCUAGUUGGUAAGGUAACGGCUUACCAAGGCAACGAUGCAUAGCCGACCUGAGAGGGUGAUCGGCCACACUGGAACUGAGACACGGUCCAGACUCCUACGGGAGGCAGCAGUAGGGAAUCUUCCGCAAUGGGCGAAAGCCUGACGGAGCAACGCCGCGUGAGUGAUGAAGGUCUUCGGAUCGUAAAACUCUGUUAUUAGGGAAGAACAUAUGUGUAAGUAACUGUGCACAUCUUGACGGUACCUAAUCAGAAAGCCACGGCUAACUACGUGCCAGCAGCCGCGGUAAUACGUAGGUGGCAAGCGUUAUCCGGAAUUAUUGGGCGUAAAGCGCGCGUAGGCGGUUUUUU